UGCUGUGAAAUACCUCUUUAAUUAGGUCCCAUUUGUCAAUUUUUGCUUUUGUUUCAAUUGCUUUUCUUAUCUUCAUCAUAAAAUCAUUGCCAAUUCUGGCUGGGCACUGUGGCUCACGCCUGUAA